GGCGUAGGGUAGUCCAACGGUACGACGCGGGCCUCAUAAGCCUGAGAUUCGGGUUCGACUCCCGGCCCUGCCA
rnacentral:tRNA from 1 species